rfam:Cyclobacterium lianum strain CGMCC 1.6102 genome assembly, contig: Ga0070154_112
AUUUGUGUUCCUUCACGUUGGAUACCUGCAUUUCUGGUACGGAAUUGGGCGAAGCUAUCCGGACAAUAUAGCCUGUAAAGGGAUUCUGCGAAGUAUCUCUGUUUCACACCAUCGUCAGGUGCGGGGGAGU